rnacentral:rRNA from 1 species
AGUGAACGCUGGCGGUAGGCCUAACACAUGCAAGUCGAACGGCGGCACAGUAAGAGCUUGCUCUUACGGGUGGCGAGUGGCGGACGGGUGAGGAAUACAUCGGAAUCUACUUUUUCGUGGGGGCUAACGUCGGGAAACUUACGCUCAUACCGCAUACGACCUACGGGUGAAAGCAGGGGAUCUUCGGACCUUUCGCGAUUGAAUGAGCCGAUGUGGGCUUAGCUGGUUGGCUGGUAAAGGCCCACCAAGGCGACCACCCGUACCUGGUUACAGAGCAUGAUCAGCCAGACUGGAACUGAGAAACGGCCCAGACUCCGACGGGAGGCAGCGGUGGGGAAUAUUGGACAAUGGGGGCAAGCCUGAUCCAGCCAUACCGCGUGGGUGAAGAAGGCCUUCGGGUGGUAAAGCCCUUUUGUUGGGAAAGAAAAGCAGCAGGUUAAUACCCCGCUGUUCUGACGGUACCCAAAGAAUAAGCACCGGCUAACUUCGUG